CCAGGUCCUCCAGAAAGUGGAACCUGAGUCAAAAACUAAAGUGCUGACAUUUCGGGAGGUGCAAGUCCAAGGUUUAAAAGGUAAGUUAAAAAGGGAAGUAUGGGAAAUAAAGAAGUCAGGCAUGGUGAGGAAACUGUCACACACCACUGUGUGGCCACCAGGUUACAAGGAGCCGAAAAGAGGCAUAGCAGGUGGCUCAGCAGGCUAUUUACAAAAAUAAUUGUAGAUAAAUGUUCAAAUAAAAAAGAGGAAGCUGUGAAGAUGACUAUAGGACAUCUCUCGUCGUCAGCCUCCCAGACUUUCUGAAAUACCAAGAAUAAGGGUGGAGCAAAUAUCUGGGUACCGUGGCCUAGUGAAGCAGACACAUGACAUUAAUCAUCACACAAAGUGAUAAGGAUCUAGUGCUUCGUUCACCUUCUUUGACAAUGAGAAACAAAAACAACAACGAAACAGAGAAUAUAGUGCUUUGUGGAUGCCAGGCACUGUGUGAGACACUUUCUAUAUAUUAAUUCACCAUCUCCUUCACCACAACCGUUUGAGAUGCUGAAGUCAUUAUUACUAUAACGAUUUGGGGGAAAAAAAUCAUCUGAGCCAGAUCCAUUCCUUCCCUUGGUCUCGCUCUAAGCCUACGUGACAGGAUGGAGAGUGAUCUCAUUUUAGAAGACGUUGAAUGAAAUGGAGCAUUCUUUAAAUGAGACACAUACACACAGCUCAGGGUUUCUCAGUCUCAGCACUAUUCACAUUUUGGCUGAAUAAUUCUUUGUUGUGGGUGUCUGUUCUGUGCAUUGCAGGAUGUUUAGCAGCAUCCUUGGCCUCCACCCACCAGAUGCAAGUAGCAGUGUCCUUCCCUCUCCCACUAGCUGUGACAACCAAAAAUGUAUCCAGACAUUGCCAAAAUCCUCCUCACCCCCACUGAGAACCAUUGACACAAAUCAAGAAGAAAGUUUUGCCAUUGUAUUUUCUGAAUGUCAUUGCCAAGUUUAGCGGGGGAAAGUUGAUUUCUUUAUGGGAGAUUUUGUGUGUGUGGCUGUUUUACAAAAUCCAAAUUAUAAAUAACAGAUGUAAGUGAGAAAAGAUUGAAUGUUUAUUACCCAAAGCCAUAUAAAUUCAAUAAUAAAUAAUGGCUUUCUCUAAAAAUAUGAGGAGUCUUUUCAAAGCCAUUAGUUCUAAUCAUAAAUGAAUUUAGCAGCAUUUCUUUAAAUUUUGCCCUUUUGUAAUGAACUCUGAUACAUUCAUGGAACUGGUUGUUAAAUAAAGAGAUAGAAAGGUCUAAUUUGCUGGUUCAUUAAGCUAGCUUAUUUCAAGACACUGUGCAUAUUGCUUUGAAUUUCAUAUUUCUGAGCAGUGGAGACAAUAGUUGUAUCCAUCUCUAAUGUAGUGUGGCAGACAAUUAGGAGCUCAAAUGUAUUAAAUCUCAUUUCAUCAGAAAUAUACACAGUGAUUAUUAUUUUAUUGCCAAAUACUGUCAGCAUUACAUUUCUUCAACAGCUAUUGUGAUACCUGAUUCACAUGCUUAAAUUUGCAUUAAACACUGUGCUAACAACAA